GCAGCAACGCCGCGUGGAGGAUGACACUUUUCGGAGCGUAAACUCCUUUUGUUAGGGAAGAAUAAUGACGGUACCUAACGAAUAAGCACCGGCUAACUCCGUGCCAGCAGCCGCGGUAAUACGGAGGGUGCAAGCGUUACUCGGAAUCACUGGGCGUAAAGGACGCGUAGGCGGAUUAUCAAGUCUCUUGUGAAAUCUAACGGCUUAACCGUUAAACUGCUUGGGAAACUGAUAAUCUAGAGUAAGGGAGAGGCAGAUGGAAUUCUUGGUGUAGGGGUAAAAUCCGUAGAUAUCAAGAAGAAUACCUAUUGCGAAGGCGAUCUGCUGGAACUUAACUGACGCUAAUGCGUGAAAGCGUGGGGAGCAAACAGGAUUAGAUACCCUGGUAGUCCACGCCCUAAACGAUGUAUACUAGUUGUUGCUAAGCUAGUCUUGGCAGUAAUGCACCUAACGGAUUAAGUAUACCGCCUGGGGAGUACGGUCGCAAGAUUAAAACUCAAAGGAAUAGACGGGGACCCGCACAAGCGGUGGAGCAUGUGGUUUAAUUCGAAGAUACGCGAAGAACCUUACCCGGACUUGAUAUCUAACAAAUCAUCCAGAGAUGGAAGAGUGUCUGCUUGCAGAAAUGUUAAGACAGGUGCUGCACGGCUGUCGUCAGCUCGUGUCGUGAGAUGUUGGGUUAAGUCCCGCAACGAGCGCAACCCACGUCAUUAGUUGCUAACGGUUCGGCCGAGCACUCUAAUGAGACUGCCUUCGUAAGGAGGAGGAAGGUGUGGACGACGUCAAGUCAUCAUGGCCCUUAUGUCCGGGGCGACACACGUGCUACAAUGGCAUAUACAAUGAGAAGCAAUAUCGCGAGAUGGAGCAAAUCUAUAAAAUAUGUCCCAGUUCGGAUUGGAGUCUGCAACUCGACUCCAUGAAGCCGGAAUCGCUAGUAAUCGUAGAUCAGCCAUGCUACGGUGAAUACGUUCCCGGGUCUUGUACUCACCGCCCGUCACACCAUGGGAGUUGAUUUCACUCGAAGCCCAAAUACCAAACCGGUUAUGGUCCACAGUGGAAUCAGCGACUGGGGUGAAGUCGUAACAAGGUAACCGUAGGAGAACCUGCGGUUG
rnacentral:rRNA from 1 species